GACGAACGCUGGCGGCGUGCUUAACACAUGCAAGUCGAGCGGAAAGGCCACUUCGGUGGUACUCGUGCGGCGAACGGGUGAGUAACACGUGAGUAAUCUGCCCCUGGCUUUGGGAUAGCCACCGGAAACGGUGAUUAAUACCGGAUACGACCACUUCUCGCAUGGGAUGGUGGUGGAAAGUUUUUUCGGCCAGGGAUGUGCUCGCGGCCUAUCAGCUUGAUGGUGAGGUAAUGGCUCACCAUGGCUUCGACGGGUAGCCGGCCUGAGAGGGUGACCGGUCACACUGGACUGAGACACGGCCCAGACUCCUACGGGAGGCAGCAGUGGGGGAUAUUGGACAAUGGGCGGAAGCCUGAUCCAGCAACGCCGCGUGAGGGAUGACGGCCUUCGGGUUGUAAACCUCUUUCAGCAGGGACGAAGCGCAAGUGACGGUACCUGCAGAAGAAGCACCGGCCAACUACGUGCCAGCCGCCGCGGUAA
rnacentral:rRNA from 1 species